rnacentral:rRNA from 1 species
AUUGAACGCUGGCGGCAGGCCUAACACAUGCAAGUCGAACGAGUGGCGGACGGGUGAGUAAUGUCUGGGAAACUGCCUGAUGGAGGGGGAUAACUACUGGAAACGGUAGCUAAUACCGCAUACCAUCAGAUGUGCCCAGAUGGGAUUAGCUUGUUGGUGGGGUAACGGCUCACCAAGGCGACGAUCCCUAGCUGGUCUGAGAGGAUGACCAGACAAAAUGGAAAGGAGACACGGUCCAGACCCCUAGGGGAGGCAGAAGGGGGAAAUAUUGCACAAUGGGCGCAAGCCUGAUGCAGCCAUGCCGCGUGUAUGAAGAAGGCCUUCGGGUUGUAAAGUACUUUCAGCGGGGAGGCGUUACCCGCAGAAGAAGCACCGGCCAACUCCGUGCCAGCAGCCGCGUAAUUC